CAGAAUUUAUGAACCACAAAAGGAUACCUGCUCAAUGGAAAGCUAUAUAUUUAGUGAACUAUUCUAUGAAGACAACGUUCCAAACAACGUUCGGCAUCAGUAACACAAAAGUGGACAACAGCAGGUUCAUGUCCAAGAUUACUGAGGAUGUUUGUUCUUGAGAGAAAAUGUAAACAACAGAGGUU